AUGUCUUAUCUCAGUUCAUGC
rnacentral:siRNA from 1 species